rnacentral:rRNA from 1 species
GAAUCAGUACGCUGGUCGUGCCUUCGGUAUGUACUGGUGUCACUGGUUUCUCCCUUCUGAAGAACCAUCAUGCCAUUCACUUGGUGUGGUGGGAAAUCAGGACUGUUACUUUGAAAAAAUUAGAGUGUUUAAAGCAGGCUCGCGCUUGAAUACAUUAGCAUGGAAUAAUGAAAUAGGACG